CAUGCAAGUCGAGCGGAAACGAGAAUAGCUUGCUAUUCGGCGUCGAGCGGCGGACGGGUGAGUAAUGCUUGGGAAUAUGCCUUUGAGUGGGGGACAACAGUUGGAAACGACUGCUAAUACCGCAUAACGUCUACGGACCAAAGGGGGGGAUCUUCGGACCUCUCGCUCAUUGAUUAGCCCAAGUGAGAUUAGCUAGUUGGUAAGGUAAUGGCUUACCAAGGCGACGAUCUCUAGCUGGUUUGAGAGGAUGAUCAGCCACACUGGGACUGAGACACGGCCCAGACUCCUACGGGAGGCAGCAGUGGGGAAUAUUGCACAAUGGGCGAAAGCCUGAUGCAGCCAUGCCGCGUGUGUGAAGAAGGCCUUCGGGUUGUAAAGCACUUUCAGCGAGGAGGAAAGGGAGUUGUUUAAUACGCAACAUCUGUGACGUUACUCGCAGAAGAAGCACCGGCUAACUUCGUGCCAGCAGCCGCGGUAAUACGAGGGGUGCAAGCGUUAAUCGGAAUUACUGGGCGUAAAGCGUGCGUAGGUGGUUUGUUAAGCAAGAUGUGAAAGCCCCGGGCUCAACCUGGGAACUGCAUUUUGAACUGGCAAACUAGAGUAUUGUAGAGGGUAGUGGAAUUUCCAGUGUAGCGGUGAAAUGCGUAGAGAUUGGAAGGAACAUCAGUGGCGAAGGCGGCUACCUGGACAAAUACUGACACUGAGGCACGAAAGCGUGGGGAGCAAACAGGAUUAGAUACCCUGGUAGUCCACGCCGUAAACGAUGUCAACUAGCCGUCUGUGACCUUGAGUCGUGGGUGGCGCAGCUAACGCACUAAGUUGACCGCCUGGGGAGUACGGCCGCAAGGUUAAAACUCAAAUGAAUUGACGGGGGCCCGCACAAGCGGUGGAGCAUGUGGUUUAAUUCGAUGCAACGCGAAGAACCUUACCAUCCCUUGACAUC
rnacentral:rRNA from 1 species